GCUGGGCACAGUGGUGUGCGCCUGUAGUUCCAGCUACUCGGGAGGCUGAGGCUGUAGGAUGGCUUGAGUCCAGGAGUUCUGGCCUGUAGUGCACUAUGCCGAUCAGGUGUUCAGCAUCAAUAUGGUGAACUCCUGGGAGCGGGGGACCACCAGGUUGCCUAAGGAGGGGGUGAACCAGCCCAGGAUGAAAACGGAGCAAGUCAGAACUCCCGUGCUGAUCUGUAGUGGGAUUGUGCUGUGAAUAGCCACUGCACUGCAGCCUGGGCAACGUAGCAAGACCCCGUCUGUA
ensembl:misc_RNA Metazoa_SRP Metazoan signal recognition particle RNA